GCUGGCGGUGCGCCUUAUGCAUGCAAGUCGAGCGAAGCUUUUCAGUAGUUUACUACAGAAAAUGACUGAGCGGCGAACGGGUGAGUAACGCGUGAGCAAUCUACCUUAGUUACAGGGAUAGCCCGAGGAAACUCGGAUUAAUACCUGAUAUUCUUUUUAUCUCGCAUGAGAUUUUAAGGAAAGGUCAGCCGAACUAAGAUGAGCUCGCGUUCUAUCAGCUAGUUGGUGAGGUAAUAGCUCACCAAGGCUACGACGGAUAGCUGGUCUGAGAGGACGAUCAGCCACACUGGGACUGAGACACGGCCCAGACUCCUACGGGAGGCUGCAGCAGGGAAUAUUGCGCAAUGAGCGAAAGCUUGACGCAGCGACACCGCGUGUGGGAUGACGGAUCUAGGUUUGUAAACCACUUUCAGGAGGGAAGAAAAUGACGGUACCUCCACA
rnacentral:rRNA from 1 species